rnacentral:rRNA from 1 species
AUUGUGAGCUCGAUGAGUAGGGCGGGACACGUGGUAUCCUGUCUGAAUAUGGGGGGACCAUCCUCCAAGGCUAAAUACUCCUGACUGACCGAUAGUGAACCAGUACCGUGAGGGAAAGGCGAAAAGAACCCCGGCGAGGGGAGUGAAAAAGAACCUGAAACCGUGUACGUACAAGCAGUGGGAGCCUCUUAAUGGGGUGACUGCGUACCUUUUGUAUAAUGGGUCAGCGACUUAUAUUCUGUAGCAAGGUUAACCGAAUAGGGGAGCCGAAGGGAAACCGAGUCUUAACUGGGCGUUAAGUUGCAGGGUAUAGACCCGAAACCCGGUGAUCUAGCCAUGGGCAGGUUGAAGGUUGGGUAACACUAACUGGAGGACCGAACCGACUAAUGUUGAAAAAUUAGCGGAUGACUUGUGGCUGGGGGUGAAAGGCCAAUCAAACCGGGAGAUAGCUGGUUCUCCCCGAAAGCUAUUUAGGUAGCGCCUCGUGAAUUCAUCUCCGGGGGUAGAGCACUGUUUCGGCAAGGGGGUCAUCCCGACUUACCAACCCGAUGCAAACUGCGAAUACCGGAGAAUGUUAUCACGGGAGACACACGGCGGGUGCUAACGUCCGUCGUGAAGAGGGAAACAACCCAGACCGCCAGCUAAGGUCCCAAAGUCAUGGUUAAGUGGGAAACGAUGUGGGAAGGCCCAGACAGCCAGGAUGUUGGCUUAGAAGCAGCCAUCAUUUAAAGAAAGCGUAAUAGCUCACUGGUCGAGUCGGCCUGCGCGGAAGAUGUAACGGGGCUAAACCAUGCACCGAAGCUGCGGCAGCGACACUAUGUGUUGUUGGGUAGGGGAGCGUUCUGUAAGCC